AUACGGAGGAUGCAAGCGUUAUCCGGAUUUAUUGGGUUUAAAGGGUGCGUAGGCGGAUGAUUAAGCGUGAGGUGAAAUGCCACUGCUCAACAGUGGAACUGCCUCGCGAACUGGUUGUCUUGAAUGCUCCUGCCGUGGGAGGAGUGAGUAGUGUAGCGGUGAAAUGCUUAGAGAUUACACAGAACACCGAUUGCGAAGGCAUCUCACGAAGGGUUGAUUGACGCUGAGGCACGAAAGCGUGGGGAUCAAACAGGAUUAGAUACCCUGGUAGUCCACGCAGUAAACGAUGAUGGCUAACCGCUGGGCUUAUCAGUUCAGUGGCCAAGCGAAAGCGAUAAGCCAUCCACCUGGGGAGUACGACCGCAAGGUUGAAACUCAAAUGAAUUGGCGGGG
rnacentral:rRNA from 1 species